AUCUCAGAUCAGGUGAGU
rnacentral:rRNA from 1 species